rnacentral:rRNA from 1 species
GACAGAGGUGCCGAGCGUUAGGCGGAAUCACUGGGCUUAAAGCGUGUGUAGGCGGUUCCGUAAGUACCUUGUGAAAUCCCCCGGCUCAACCGGGGAAUUGCUGGGCAUACUGGCGGUCUUGAGCGAUCUAGGGGCAGAUGGAACAAGUGGUGGAGCGGUGAAAUGCGUAGAUAUCACUUGGAACGCCAAAGGUGAAGACAGUCUGCUGGGGAUCUGCUGACGCUGAGACACGAAAGCCAGGGGAGCGAACGGG